ACCUCGGUGGUGUAGUGGUAGCACGCGUUCCCGGCAUGGAUGCAAUGUGGGUUCAACUCCCGCCUGAGGUC